GUAGGUGAACCUGCGGAAGGAUCAUUAAUGAAUAAAAUUGGUUUAGACUGUUGCUGGCCCUUUGGGGUAUGUGCACGCCUAUUCCGACUUUAUAACCACCUGUGCACCUUGUGUAGAUCUGAAUUGCCUUUCGAGUGUUUCGAACUCUCGGUUUGAAGGAUUGCCGUGCGCGAUGCCAGCUUUCCUUUAUUCUUUCAGAUCUAUGUUUUAUUAUACUCCAUAUCAAAGUAUUUGAAUGCAAUAGUCAAGG
rnacentral:misc_RNA from 1 species